GUCCCCGGACCGUGUGGCGCUGGAACACGCGUAGCGAGCUGGACUGUGUUCCCUCCACUCCCCGGCUCGCUGGGUCUGGCCUAGCUGCCUCUGGAAGCCGAGGGGAGGCGUUAGAUACCCCGCUUAGAGCGCAGGGAGGGCCGUGCGCGGGUGGCUGGUGGAUGGCUCGGUCCGUGGUGCAGCGGAGCCCUGAUGACCUGGGGAGACUCUGAGCGGGAGGAGGAGGAGGCCCCGCGGAGCCGCGCUGUCCUGGGAUUGUCUCCUGACUGUCACCUGCUGCAAGGGCAGUGCGCCCAGUAGCCUCGGCAAGGACCUGUGACAUGCGAAUUAAGAUACCACUAGCUAGACAGCUGCUGUUGCCGCCAGACCACUGAUCCUACAAUUUGCGGAGAGGUGGGGCUUCCAAGACCUUGAAUGUAAGAGGAGUGCCAUCAAAAUCGUCUCCCCACCCCAACCUCCCCGAUGGCAUCUGAGGCAGAGCCCCACCCCCUGGGCAUGUUUAAAUGCCAGCUUUGUGCCUUAACAGCUCCUUACAGCUAUGUCGGGCAGAAGCCCCCAGACACCCAGGCUGUUGUCCUCCUGGAGGAGAGCUACAUCAUGAAGGAUCCCUUCUCCUCAGACAAGGCCAGGUUUCUGAUCCUCGGUUCUCGGUGCAGUGUGUGCAGCAGGCUGGUGUGUGUGGACCCGGAAUGCAGCCUGUUUUACUCCAAGAGGGUCUGCCUCCCCUGUGUUCAGAAGAAUAUCAGUGCUUUCCCUCAGGAAAUCCAGCAGGAUGUGGAGAAGAGAAAGGGUGCCAGCAAGAAGCACUCCAACCGUCCCUGACUGGCAGGGGCACAGCCUCCUGUGAAGCAUUGGGCUGGGCUAGGCCCGGAUUCCAGCUGGGAGCUGUGUAUCUGGUCUUCUCUGAACUGUGUGGGGGAGUUAGGAAGACAUUGCCAAGAAGAAAUGUGGCCAGGACAUGGGAAAUGACACGGAGACUCAAUGGAACAGCUCAGAUCGCCACAGUUCUUUGGUAAUAAUUCAUAGCUAACAAUUUUCAGUGGAGAGCUAUUAAUCCAACAGGCCUACUCUGUAGCCUCGAUAGAAACACUGAUGUAAGGUUGGUAUUUCCAGCCAGGGUUCAGGAAAACCAAGCUGGCAGAGAGAGAUAUAAACAGAUUGACUCGCACUUGUUUUUUGGUUUUUUUUUUUCCAAAGUGACUAACAGAGCAGAUUCACACCUUGGGAGGAGAUCGUGCGCACAGCUCAGGGGCAGUGACAGGUAAGGGGUGCACACCCCUGGGCAGCUGUCUAUUUGGGCUUCCCCUCGCUGGCUCGCUCGCUGUGUCCAGCUCUGAACAUACGCUGUACUGAACCCUGACUUAGAAGAGUCUAGGUGCUGGUGAUUAGACACAUUGUCACAAGCUAGUCAAUGAAUUGUAUCAGAGUGUUAAAACAAAACAAACAGAAAUCACAGUAUUUAAGAGAGAGCUAUGAAGAUACUUUUUUUUUCAUUCAGUGCAGAAAGCAUCGUGACAUUUAAUGUGGAUAAUACUGAUGUCUUCCUAGAAAGGGUGCCAAGUGGCGUUCAUCUGUUGUGAGGUACACUUAGUUUCAGGCUUGACAAAAGAGCUAGCUGUGCCUUUUUUAUUUUUAAAGUGAAAUUUCCCAAAGUAAUUUUACCAGGAAAGGGUCAACCACUCCCUGGUCUUCAGGGCCUGAAUCCAGGCUCUGUGUGUGACUUGAAGCACAGCUGAGUCCCAGGGGCCUGGGGAAGAUGCCCCAGUGCCCUCUGCCGGCCAAGGAGCCCCGAGGGUCACCUACCGAGGGUUACCUACCUCUGCUCUGCCCUCACCACUGCCAGGGUGACCUGUGACCCAGGGUUGAAGCAUCCGUCUUCACCGAAUAAAUGGAUUUGCAGCUGGGUUUGGGUUGGAGGAAGAGGUGAGAGAGGAGGAGAGUAUUAUUUCUCCCUCUCCACAGAGAACUGCAGGGUUUUCCUAUUUGACCCCAACUGGCAAACUUUUAAAUAAAAAGACAAUGAAACAGCCCUGUUGCUAUGACCUAAAAUGGUGCUUCUCCUUGCCUUUUGCCAACAAUACUACCUGACCACCACUAAGGUGUCAGGUGCUCUUAGCUGCUUGGUGAAGACAUGACACUGACCUGUGCACAGUUUGGUCCACUUCUGGUUGGCACAGGAUUUUCCAAAAGGUGCUUCUCACGAUGCAACCACCCUCUCUGACUAAAGUUCCCUUUGGGGAAGAAAGCAACAGGCUGAGGUCUGAUGUUGAGAAAAUGUCCUCAGGGGUCUCAGGCUGGUGAUAUAGGCCUGAUUAGGGACCACACACCUUUUCUUGAGCCACUCCACUGAAGUAAAACCAGAGAUGCCAACACAUUCCUCAGAGGAGUCUCAGUGAGGAAUGUGGUCCACUUAUUUAAACCAAAGCCUCUCCAUGCAGAUUUUAGUGUCUUUCAAUGAAGCAAAGGUCAGCCUGAGUCAGGCUAUUGCUCUUAUAUUCUUAACCUACUCUGGUCUUGGGAGUCAGCCAUACAAAUGUGGACCGGGCACAGAAUGGUGUCUGGUGGCUCAGCAGGAAACCAAGAUGGCUGCCACACUGGUGCUAUCUACUUGAAGAAGGGUCUAGGUUCCUGUUCUCAGCCUUCCAGGGGCUCUGGAAGGAGAACAGGACCUACUGGAGGGGUGAGAACAGGAACUUAAACCCGUUAGGAAAAUGCUGGUUGAGCAGCUGUAGGGAGUCGCUCAUUUUGAAACUCAUUUUGAAAGGCCACACAGGUUAAAGAGAGACAGAGUGAAGGCAGCGGGCUUUUUGGCUGUAGGUGGCCCUGGGGCCAAAGGCUACUUAAUCUCAGGGGACACCAGAAAAACUUUAAACUGGAGUUCAGCAAGUCAUUUUCAAACUGAUGCAGGACAAAAAUAUCCCCUUCCUCCAUGCAUCUGGCUGCUGACUGUCCAAAGCUCCCAGUGUCACAGUGUGUUAGAUAAAGGCUCAAGGUGAGACAUAUUUAGAAUCAGAUGCAAGCUGAGUGUAGAGGAGCCCAAGGGCCAUGUUUUUUUGAAGGUCUGUUUCAAGGAACCUUUUCUGGGUAAGCGCAGCAGAGAGGGGUGUCAUGGAGGGAGGGGCUGGAGUGGCCCCUGCAGACAGGAUCAUAGAGGAAGUCGUGAGAGCCCUUAGUCCAGUCGAUGACUAAAAUUUGCACAUGUGUAUCUUUAAGACUCCCUUAAACAGCGAAUGUGACUUCACUAGGUCACAGCCUCUUGAAGACAUCCGGAGGGAGGGAGGAGGGACACCAAGGCUGCUUGGUCCCCAUCAGUCUCCAAGGAGUCUGGCACUAAGACUUUGCCAUGAGAGCUGGGAAGUGGCUUUGCAACCCUGCUCUAGAGCUCCCUGAGCCAAGGUGGCAUCUUUGAUUGGGCUGCUGGCUGAUGCCGCUGACACACCUUGCAGACCACAGCUGCCCACUCUCUCGGUUCCUAAAUGUGCCACGGUAUUUAACCUGGCAUGCGAACCUUGGGAAAUCUGAUUAGGUGGCCUGAAAGGUCCUAGCACCAUGUGGCCACAUUGUGAAUAUCCUUCCCACAAAGGAGGCUUCUUAAAGUCAGUGACUUUGAGGCUAAGGCCACUGUGGUCCUUCCUGGCUUCUCUGGGGAUAGCUUACUGGCAAUCCUACUAGGCUCCAGGAGAAUGAAACCUUCACGAACACGACUGAGCGUCAGCUCAGAUGCAGACUGACGUGGAAGUUGUCAGUCAGUUCUGUGGUCCAUCCUGAAAGCAUCCAGCUAGGGGCUACUCUUCACAAGUUUUAUGCAAGUUCAAGCACAAUGCUUGACCACUCCAAAAGCCCACGACUCAAAACUCACUUUCCAAGGUCACCUACACUGGAGUGGCACUUGUGUAAGGUUCAUUAGAACAGGAGCCUGUCUUCACAGGGGACCUGUGCACAGAAGAGGCCUGACACUGGGAUCCAACCUUUGACUCUCCAAACUAGGACAAGCUCUAGCCCGGCUGGAAGCACUGAGGACUGGAUGUGCCAUGUGACACAAAGGCUGGCUCCUCCCUGACUGAGCUCUACCCUCACCGGGAUCAUAUAUGAAAAUGACUUGCUCUGUCUCUGAUUCCUAAGACCCUGGGCGGACUGCCUGCAGCAACUGCUGUCCAACAGAGCCUUUGAUUGGCAGCAAGGAGGGACGACAAAGGGGACACCGUGGGUUUGAGGAAGGACAGAAGACAGGAAGGGGAGAAGGAAAGAGGGAGGGAAGAAGGAAGGAGAUCAGUAGGGUGCAAAUCUUAAAGCAUGUCUUGAUGCCAAUUUUCCCUUUUCCCUAUUGGACAUGCCAUGGUCUUAUUAUUCCUUCUAGUGUUUUUAUUAUGCCAACAUUUUAUCAGUAGCAAUCUUUUUCUCUUUUAAACAGGGUCUCACACUGUACAGACUGGCAUCAAACUUAAUUAUGUAUCUGAAGGUGACCUCUGACUCCUGCUGCGGUUGCAGGCAUCGACCACCAUGGCCAGCAUAGAGCAGCGACAGGGACCAAGCCUUCUACCCACUGAGCUACGUCCUCGACUCCUUGGCAGUGUCUGUCUGGAUCAUUCCUUAAUAACAAAUAAUGGUGACGUCAGAAGAGUCAAGUUUUCUAAAGAUGGGUCAGGAGCAUAGAAGAUACAACCUGAUCUGAAAUAUGCAGCCACCCUCUUGGAGGGAAGGCAGGUGCUGGCAGGUCCAUGAGGUCUGAGAAUCUUUUGUGCAACUGUUUCUCUUGAAGGUAGCCAGCACUGCUCUCCCAAUGGGACUGAGGAAAAGGGACUUUACCAUCUAAUUCCUUGAAACAAUAACAACAACAACAGCAACAACAACAACAGCAACAACAACAAUAACAACAGCAACAGACUAACAAGUGUUGUGAGCUCUUCAGCUGGGUACAAACAGAAGCUGAAUGAAAAUCACACCUUUGUCUCUUGUUCUCCAGGGUGACCUGGGUAGUGAAGUCACUUUUUGCUUUCUCUACUCCAGAGAGAGAGAGAGAGAGAGAGAGAGAGAGAGAGAGAGAGAGAGAGAGAGAGAGAGAGAGCGAGCACGGGCAUGCAUCUCAUCACCAAGAGAGUUUUUAAAAGGCAGUAAAGUGUCGUAUUAAAGGAGCUGCCAAAGGGGGCGGGGGCUAGAGGAGCAUGGACAAAUCUUUGUGAAUCUACCUCUGAUAUUGCCAUGACCACAGGCUGAGAGUCUGACAUGAGCAGAGCUGCAGAAUUUGUCGCUCAGGGCUCAUCCUGCCUUUGUCUAACAGACACUAGCUGAAGCCUUCUGAGGCUUCUUGAGAUGGAACUUUCUGGGCAUCUUCUAUACAAAUCUGAAAAUGUCCUCCACCACACGAGUUAGUUGUACCCUCUAGAACAGUGAGACCACAGGAGAAUGAUGGGAUAGCUUAUCAAACUAUUCUCAAAUGUUCUCAGAAGCCACCUCUCUUUCUUAGAGCCAGGAAACACAAGUGAAGUCUUCCCAAUAAACUUUUUUUUUUUGCCACGUAUAAAUGGCUAAUCUUGGGCCACACCUUGACUCGUAGACUUUUUUAAAGGUUAAAAAGUGCAGAUUAGGGGUUGGGGAUUUAGCUCAGUGGUAGAGCACUUGCCUAGCAAGCUCAAGGCCCUGGGUUCGGUCCACAGCUCCGAAAAAAAGAAAAGAAAAAAAAAAGUGCAGAUUAGUUUUCAAGACUUACAAGAGUUGCACACAGCCAGAAGGAUGGCAGAAAGAGAAUUAGACUGCUUGGACUUUGAGGUUACCCGUUAAUUAAUGGCAAAUUAUAUAUGCAACGUAGAGUACUGUGCAAUGAUUAACAUUGGGCCAGUUAAGAUCAGACUGGUGGGGGGGGGGGCUGCCAUUGUCUGUAAUUGUCUGAAUCCUACUAGCCUCUGAUCACCACCAUUUCAGUAGCAGGAAGUCUUAGAAGUGCUCAUUCAGAAAGUAAGGAUGUGGGAGGAGCCUGCAUUGCCUAGGCUCAGCCCUCUUCAUCUCCAAGGGUAAGGAGGGAGGCCAUCUGUGCAAAUCCCUGCUCUCCUGUAUGGGGCCGCAGACCUCAGAGGUCCCUGAACAGUGGCAACGGCCUACCAUCUCAGGAAAAAUCAGUACAUGUCUCUGUAGAUCUCUUGCAACAGUGGGUGCAACGCCGCGUCUGACUCGGUCUUCUUGAUGACCUGCACGAGCUGCGCAUGCUCCGUGACCAGCUGCCGGAGGUCCACCAUUUUUUGAAGGAGUUUUGGGAAGAGAAAGGUAUCAUCCGGAUGGUUGCUCUGCAGGUGGAGCUUGAGCACGUGCACAAUCCCCUCCUGCAACUUCUCAAUGUAUCCUAUGUUUAGAAGGCCAGGCCGAUCUACACUCAAAAGAAGAAAGAGACGUCUGAGUGUGGCCAUCUGAGAGUCCCUGUCAGCGGAGGAGCCAAGUGUCACUGCUUUGUUUGGCCCUGCUGAGAAGGCACUGAGUGACCUCCACGUGGCAGCCAGAGCAGAGGUCAAACUUUCCCACGGUCACCGCCUCGGUUGGGUACAGACAUGACUGACACUCCUAGCUAUUCACAGGACCAGCCCAUAGUCCUACCCCACUCCCCCUUACGGUGCGGCCCCUGCUUUUGGAUUUGUCUGACAAUCCUCAAACCACACCACAUCUCUGUAGGAAACAGAGUGCUUCUUCCAGUGUGAAAGUUGUGUAUUCCUCUUCCCAUCAGCAGCUUAGGGGUAUGACAAGAUCAACAAAUUUUUUUCUUUUAUUUGUUUGUUUGUUUGUUUGAGACAGAGUUUCUCUGUGUAACCCUGGCUGUCCUGAAACUCAUUUUGUAGACCCAGUUGGCCUGGAACUCAUAGAGAUCUGCCUGACUCUGCCUUCUGAGUCCUGGGAUUAAAGGUGUGAGGCACCUCCUCCCCAGGCUCUGUCUUAAGGUAACGUUAUUGAUGCCUUUUGAUAAUGCCAGGUGGGAAGCAGACAGAGAGAUGACCAGAGCUGGACAGCAUACCAAGGAGCCCCUGGAGUCCAGAGAGGACAUAGCAGGAAGUACGUGCUCACACUAGGUGGCCUUCCUGGUAUAGUCUCAGGUCCACAGUCUCAGGUCCCUGUCCAUCCAUCCAUCCAUCCAUCCAUCCAUCCAUCCAUCCAUCCAUCCAUAAAUAACUAGGGCUUAAAAGCUGCUCAUGAUGUAGUGUUUAGUUUUGUCUAUUUUUUUAUUUUAAUGAUGUGUAUAUGUGUGUGUUGGGGGCUGGGGGAUGCCUGUGAGUAUGGCUCUCCAGAAGGCCAGAAGUGGGCACUGGAUCCCCCUGGAGCUGGAGUUAUAUGCAGUUGUGAACUGUCUGACGUGGAUUCUGGGAACUGCUCUUAACCAUUGAGCCAUCUCCCCAGCCCCUGAUGUCGAGAUUAAUCUUCAUUGUUUUUGCAGGGACAGGUAAGACAGGGUGUCCCUGUGUACCCCUGGCUGGCCUAGAACUCACCGAGAUCCACCUGCCUCUACAUCUUGAGUGCUGAGAUUAAAGGCGUGUACCACCAUCGCCUGGGUAAAUCUUUAUCGCUUUAGUAUUAAAAUAAAAAUAAAAAUUAA